AUUGAACGCUGGCGGCAGGCCUAACACAUGCAAGUCGAGCGGAUGAACGGAGCUUGCUCCUGGAUUCAGCGGCGGACGGGCGGGUAAUGCAUAGGAAUCUGCCUGGUAUUUGGGGAUAACGUCCGGAAACGGGCGCUAAUAUCGCAUACGUCCUGAGGGAGAAAGUGGGGGAUCUUCGGACCUCGCGCUAUUAGAUGAGCCUAGGUCGGAUUAGCUAGUUGGUGGGGUAACGGCCUACCAAGGCGACGAUCCGUAACUGGGCUGAGAGGAUGAUCAGCCACACUGGAACUGAGACACGGUCCAGACUCCUACGGGAGGCAGCAGUGGGGAAUCUUCGACAAUGGGCGAAAGCCUGACGCAGCCAUGCCGCGUGAGUGAAGAAGGUCUUCGGAUUGUAAAGCUCUGUUAGUUGGGAAGAAGGGAAGUAAGUUAAUAUCUGCAUGUCUUGACGUUACCAACACAAUAAGCACCGGCUAACUUCGUG
rnacentral:rRNA from 1 species